rnacentral:rRNA from 1 species
CGUGGGUAACCUACCCAUCAGAGGGGGAUAACACUUGGAAACAGGUGCUAAUACCGCAUAACAGUUUAUGCCGCAUGGCAUAAGAGUGAAAGGCGCUUUCGGGUGUCGCUGAUGGAUGGACCCGCGGUGCAUUAGCUAGUUGGUGGGGUAACGGCUCACCAAGGCCACGAUGCAUAGCCGACCUGAGAGGGUGAUCGGCCACACUGGGACUGAGACACGGCCCAG